CAGCAGCCGCGGUAAUACGAAGGGGGCUAGCGUUGCUCGGAAUGACUGGGCGUAAAGGGCGCGUAGGCCGUUUGACAAGUUUGGUGUGAAAUCUAUGGGCUCAACCCAUAGCCUGCAUCGAAAACUGUCGGGCUUGAGUAUGGGAGAGGUGAGUGGAAUUUCCGGUGUAGCGGUGAAAUGCGUAGAUAUCGGAAGGAACACCUGUGGCGAAAGCGGCUCACUGGACCAUUACUGACGCUGAGGCGCGAAAGCUAGGGGAGCAAACAGGAUUAGAUACCCCUGUAGUCCCUGUCUCUUAUAC
rnacentral:rRNA from 1 species